AAGUCGUAACAAGGUUUCCGUAGGUGAACCUGCGGAAGGAUCAUUACAAACGAGAGCGUGAACAUGUUGAAAUGUCGUGUGGAGAGAGAGGAGGAUGCUUCACUCUCCCCGCACACUAAUAUCACAUUAGUCAUUGCUAAGAUAACCAACAACACAUACAACUUAUAACAAUGGAUCUCUAGGCUCUU
rnacentral:misc_RNA from 1 species